CAGUCGCCGCGGGAAUACGUAGGGUGCAAGCGUUAAUCGGAAUUACUGGGCGUAAAGCGUGCGUAGGCGGUUCGUUAAGUCUGUUGUGAAAGCCCCGGGCUCAACCUGGGAAUGGCAAUGGAUACUGGCGAGCUAGAGUGUGUCAGAGGAUGGUGGAAUUCCCGGUGUAGCGGCGAAAUGCGUAGAGAUCGGGAGGAACAUCAGUGGCGAAGGCGGCCAUCUGGGACAACACUGACGCUGAGGCACGAAAGCGCGGGGAGCAAACAGGAUUAGAUACCCCAGUAGUCCCUGUCUCUUAUAC
rnacentral:rRNA from 1 species